rnacentral:rRNA from 1 species
UACGUAGGGGGCAAGCGUUGUCCGGAAUCAUUGGGCGUAAAGAGCGUGUAGGCGGUCCGAUAAGUCCGCUCUGAAAGCCCGGGGCUCAACCCCGGGAGGCGGGCGGAUACUGUCGGGCUAGAGUCCGGAAGAGGCAAGUGGAAUUCCUGGUGUAGCGGUGAAAUGCGCAGAUAUCAGGAGGAACACCGGUGGCGAAGGCAGGUUGCUGGGACGGUACUGACGCUGAGACGCGAAAGCGUGGGGAGCAAACAGG